rnacentral:rRNA from 1 species
UACGUAGGUGGCAAGCGUUGUCCGGAUUUACUGGGCGUAAAGGAUGCGUAGGCGGACAUUUAAGUCAGAUGUGAAAUACCCCGAGCUUAACUUGGGUGCUGCAUUUGAAACUGGGUGUCUAGAGUGCAGGAGAGGUAAGUGGAAUUCCUAGUGUAGCGGUAAAAUGCGUAGAGAUUAGGAAGAACACCAGUGGCGAAGGCGACUUACUGGACUGUAACUGACGCUGAGGCAUGAAAGCGUGGGGAGCAAACAGG